rnacentral:rRNA from 1 species
AGCAGCCGCGGUAAUUCCAGCUCCAAUAGCGUAUAUUAAAGUUGUUGCAGUUAAAAGCUCGUAGUUGAAUUUCGGGGUUAGCAGGUCGGUCGUGCCAUCGGUAUGAACUGGUCUCGCUGAUCCCUCCCUCUUGACGAACUGUGAUGCCAUUAAUUUGGUGUCGCAGGGAAUCAGGACUGUUACUUUGAAAAAUUAGAGUGUUUAAAGCAGGCUCACGCUUGAAUACAUUAGCAUGGAAUAAUGAAAUAGGACGUUUGAUCCUAUUUUUGUUGGCUUCUAGGAUUGACGUAAUGAUUAAUAGGGAUAGUUGGGGGCAUUAGUAUUUCAAUUGUCAGAGGGUGAAAUUCUUGGGAUUUAUUGAAGACUAACUACUUGCGAAAGCAUUUGCCAAGGAUGUUUUUCAUUAAUCAAGACGAAAGUUUAGGGGGAUCGAAGACGAUCAGAUACCCGUCGUAGUCUU